rnacentral:rRNA from 1 species
UACGGAGGGUGCAAGCGUUGUCCGGAUUCAUUGGGUUUAAAGGGUGCGCAGGCGGGCCAUUAAGUCAGGGGUGAAAGACGGUUGCUCAACAAUCGCAGUGCCUUUGAUACUGGUGGUCUUGGGUGACCUUGAGGUAGGCGGAAUGGGUGGUGUAGCGGUGAAAUGCAUAGAUACCACCCAGAACUCCGAUUGCGAAGGCAGCUGGCUACGCAUAUAUUGACACUGAGGCACGAAAGCGUGGGGAUCAAACAGG